AGUAGAGCCUGGCGGUGUCUUGGCUUCGGCGCUUUAACCCUGUAGGGGCGUGCGACUGCGUCCUUCUCAAGGGGGCGCCCCUCGAGCGGCGGGCUGAGUGGCGUCCAGCGGCGGGGAGGCGAAAACCCUGGGGGACUCAGAAGCGGGUGGCGGUGUAGGGCGUGUAAGGAGGAGAUAGCCAGGCCCCUGCGGGGGGGGCGGGCCCUCCUUAGCGUCCCAGAGGGCUUGUCUGCUACAGGGGCUCCCAGCGGCCUCCCGCACCGAAGGGACCCUGGGCGUCUGAGGCCCUGAUCCGGGCGGGCCUUCAGGAUGUUAGCAGUCCCUGUCCGGUUGAAGGCCUGCGGGGCGGGGGCGGGGUGGCGCCCAGGACGACUCCCCGGGCUCAGCUUGGCUGCCUGCCUCCUUCUGUAAGUGCUUUUUUUUUCUUCACCUGGGACCCUCUAGAGGUUGGAAAGAGAAGAGAGGCUGGGAGCGGAUGGAAAGCAUGACUGCAUCUGGAGCCCCUGGGGGGAGUGGGGAAGAGGGAGUGGAAGGACAGUGGCUGAGGGGCUUCCUGUUGCAGCCUUCAGCUGGACUCAGGGUUGGGGUCACUGGAGGAGGAGGUGGCUUCCUGCCCCAUUGUUCUGGACUGCAGUGUUUCUUGGGAAUACUUACUGUAUGUGGAUUUUCAGUAACCAACUUGGAAAGCUGUAUUUGUUCCCAUGAUUCAGCAAACAAUGAGUACCUACUGUGUGUAGAAGCAGCAGGACAGCCUGUCAUCACUGGGAAAGAGGCCAGAAGAGCCGUUUGGCCAGGGUCUCCAAUUUAGGCUUUCAACAUUAUCUCUAAAGAAGGUUAUACAUUAUGUCGGCUCCACUGGCUGAUGGGAUCAAAGACCCUCCUUGUAUAUCCUUAAACCUGUACUCUAUUACCAGGCCACUGUGCCUGUGGAGCACUGUAAGUUCCUACCUUUUAAUAAAUUUUAUAAUUAUCUUGUGAGCAGCA
ensembl:lncRNA ZNF436-AS1 ZNF436 antisense RNA 1